UACAGAGGUCUCAACCGUUGUUCGGAUUCAUUGGGCGUAAAGGGUGCGUAGGCGGUCGUGCAAGUCGGGAUGUGAAAUCUCAGGGCUCAACCCGUGAAACUGCAUUCGAUACUGCGUGGCUAGGAGUGCUGGAGAGGAGACUGGAAUUUACGGUGUAGCAGUGAAAUGCGUAGAGUAUCGUAAAGGAAGACCAGUGGCGAAGGCGAGUCUCUGGACAGCAACUGACGCUGAGGCACGAAGGGCCAGGGGAGCAAACGGG
rnacentral:rRNA from 1 species